UACGUAGGAUGCGAGCGUUGUCCGGAUUUAUUGGGCGUAAAGAGCUCGUAGGCGGUUUGUCGCGUCGGCCGUGAAAUCUCCACGCUUAACGUGGAGCGUGCGGUCGAUACGGGCAGGACUUGAGUUCGGUAGGGGAGACUGGAAUUCCUGGUGUAGCGGUGAAAUGCGCAGAUAUCAGGAGGAACACCGGUGGCGAAGGCGGUUCUCUGGGCAACAACUGACGCUGGAGGAGCGAAAGCGUGGGGAGCGAACAGG
rnacentral:rRNA from 1 species